CUCAGAAAAAAAGAUUGCAUUUUAAAAAUAUAUAUUUAUUGUUAAUAGGUUCAUCUUUUAUAUUCCCUAGCUUAGAAAGCAAAAAAGUAUAAAUUUGAACUUCUGUCGCCAUCUUUAAAACCAGCCUCGUUUUAUUUUCAGCCAUAUUUAACCCGGUCACGUGAUAGGGCGAACCGGGCAUAGCCCGACCUAGAACAAAUGAAGCAGCCCCAAU
rnacentral:lncRNA from 1 species